ACGAAAAUGUAAACAAACCAAAAUUCAGUAUCAAUAAAGCAAAUGAAGAUAAAGAAGAAACCAAGGAUUACUUUGCAACAAGAAAAGUGGAAGUGGAAGCCCCGCGUAGGAAGCCAGCAACGCCGACAUAUUUAUUGUGGAGUGAAUAGGUACAAAUUGAAGUAAAAAAUUACACUGCUCAACAAGACUGGCGAUCAAAUCGCUCGAUUCUGAUGGCUUAUAUCCUCAUUGUUAAUCCUGUAGGAAUGAGAAGAAGUCUGAAAAGCUUCGCUUUGCAACCUAUCUGACAUGCUUCAUUUGACGAGAUGGAUAUACAAGUCGAGAGUUGUUAUAAAGUUGAGGAAUCUCUUUACUUGGUGGUCAUUCAUAGCCAAGCCAAAUACAAGUUGAAUUAAUUGCAGCGUGUGAUAGCAGUAGCACAUUCACGUAAUGUGCCGCCAUCUUUGCAAUGCAAAGCACUCCUUUCAGCCAGCUACGGAUAGUCGAAAGAUCGCAAUGAAUGCAAGUCCUUCCUCAUCAUGUGAACAAUAGUUAAUUUAAUCUACAGUCAGUUUUUCAAGACAGUACCUACCACCGAGGAUUGGCCAAUUGAUCUGUUUCACUAUGUUCUUUUUUGCAGAAAUUCACAUUUGAAUAUCUUCCUUUGCAUUUUUUGGCGAACUCUGUGAUGUAGUUGGUCUCUGGAAUUCAAUUGAAAUACCUUCUUUCAAUUAUGAUUUAUUGCUUUCAAUGCCGUCAAUAUCUUCAAUUCAAUUCUGCCUCUUGUUACCAACGAAGAAGGAGACAAGAUCGGAAAAUUUGCUGACGAUGGUAUUUGGCUGGACGAGGAAAACCCGUCGCCUUUUUCUCUUUAUCAGUUCGUUUUGAAAAUGCCAGAUUUUGAAGUCGAGAAUCUUCUAAAGUCGUUCACGUUGUUCAAGUAGUUUUAUUCCACUGGAAGAAAUUGCAUUUCUCAUGGAACAACACAAAAAAUCACCAGAGAAGAGAAAAGCACAAACGAUUCUAGCUGAAGAUAUGACGCUUCUAGUCCAUUGAGAGGCGGGUCUAAAACAAGCCGAAAAAGUCACAGAAGCGCUCUACAAGGCAAAUGUUGAAGGACUAGGUGAACUGAACUACAACUAAAUCCUAUCGUUAAGAUUUUUCCAGAGCCUGGACUAUCUAUUCUUGAUCUGGCACUAAAAGCUUAAUGUUUUACAACAGAGACUGAUACGAUGAGAAUCAUCACAGCUGGAGGGUUCUAUAUCAAGCAAUAGCGAACUAAAAACUUCGCACUAACAUCACACUAACUCAUCACCACAAACAUCAGAUACCAUUUCUAUCUAUUAGUUCAAAAUGUUAAAUGUCUCCUUUUUGUUGGCAAGGAUGAGCAUAUGAAUAAAAACAAUUUGUUUAGCUUAUAUCCAUAUUUAAUUUUAAAAUUCAAUAAUAAUAUUGUAUUCUUUUUUGUGAUACAAAUAAAUAAUUUGAAUCAUUAAACAUGUAGACU